CCGGCACGGGUGGAGUAACACGUAUGCAAUCCACCUGUAACAGGGGAGUAACCCGGAGAAAUCCGGACUAAUACCCAUAAUAUGGGCGCUCCGCAUGGAGAGCCCAUUAAAGAGAGCAAUUUUGGUUACAGACGAGCAUGCGCUCCAUUAGCCAGUUGGCGGGGUAACGGCCCACCAAAGCGACGAUGGAUAGGGGUUCUGAGAGGAAGGUCCCCCACAUUGGAACUGAGACACGGUCCAA
rnacentral:rRNA from 1 species